rnacentral:lncRNA from 1 species
UAGGGAGAGCAGGGGAUUUCAGGCCAGUCAGGUCCUGCUCCGUGGGAUUCGCUGGGGCGAGGGGGGGCCAGCCUGGGCCACGUUAACCCCCCCUCCCCUCCCCGCCAGGGCUCAGAGUCGGAGCUCGAGGCCCAGCACCAGCGGGCCCAGAAGAGGAGGAAGCGGAAUCCCUCGGAGUCCGGUUCGGAGCUCUCCUCCUCGCCCGGCUCAGAUCUCAGCUCCCGCAAGGCCAGGAAACAGAAGAAGAAAAGCAAGAAGAGGAGGCACAAAUCGAACAGCCCCCAGAGCGAGGGCGAGCGGGGCAGGAAGGGGAAGGAGAAGGAGCCGGAGCGGGCAGAGGGCCGACGGCGCUCCCCCCAGCGCAGCCUCAAGAGGGAGAAGAGCGUCUGGGACACGUCGGACAGUGAGCCGAGCGAGGGCGAGCUGGAGAAGCGGCGUCGGACACUGCUGCAGCAGCUGGACGACGAUCAGUAGCCAGGUCUGCGGGACUGUCGCUGAGCUGGGGCUCCCUCAGCUCCCCACCCCUCUCCCCAGCCUGGGGAGAGGCUCCGGACAGCUCGAUGCGGGCGGGGGGCUCCUGAGAGAGCAGAGAGGGGGCCCCGCUCCACCCAGGACUCCUUCCCCCCAUCCCUGCGGAUCCCCCCCGCACCUGAGGACCCAUCGCCCCUGGGGCUGCUGUGACCACCUCUGCUUGGCUGGCCCCUCGGCGCUCAGAGGACCGGCCCCAGGACAGCGGCGCUUUGGAGGGGGUUCGAAUGCGGCUCUCACAGGUGGUUCUGUGGCUGCGCUGAGGAUCAUGGGUGCCUGGGGCGCCCUGCGGGGUUGGCUGCGGGGGCGUGUGCUGCUGAGUAGCCGGGACCCUCGGCCUGCUCGUACUCUGGGAAUUAAAG